GACGGGGACCCGCACAAGCGGUGGAUGAUGUGGUUUAAUUCGAUGCAACGCGAAAACCUUACCCACCUUUGACAUGUACGGAACCCUUUAGAGAUAGAGGGGUGCUCGAAAGAGAGCCGUAACACAGGUGCUGCAUGGCUGUCGUCAGCUCGUGUCGUGAGAUGUUGGGUUAAGUCCCGCAACGAGCGCAACCCUUGUCAUUAGUUGCUACAUUCAGUUGGGCACUCUAAUGAGACUGCCGGUGACAAGCCGGAGGAAGGUGGGGAUGACGUCAAGUCCUCAUGGCCCUUAUAGGUGGGGCUACACACGUCAUACAAUGGCUGGUACAAAGGGUUGCCAACCCGCGAGGGGGAGCCAAUCCCAUAAAGCCAGUCGUAGUCCGGAUCGUAGUCUGCAACUCGACUACGUGAAGUCGGAAUCGCUAGUAAUCGUGGAUCAGAAUGUCACGGUGAAUACGUUCCCGGGUCUU
rnacentral:rRNA from 1 species